GACGAACGCUGGCGGCGUGCUUAACACAUGCAAGUCGAACGGAAAGGCCCUGCGCUUGUUGCGUGCUCGAGUGGCGCACGGGUGUGUAACACGUGAGUAUCCUGCCCUUGUCUUUCGGAUAACUUCACGAGACUGGGGCUCAUACCGGAUAUGAGCUCCUGCUGCAUGGUGUGGGUUGGAAAGUUUCGGCGGUUGGGGAUGGACUCGCGGCUUAUCAGCUUCAUGGUGGGGUAGUGGAUUACCAAGGGUGUGACGGGUAGCCGGCCUGGGAGGGUGACCGGCGUCAUUGGGACUGAGAGACGGCGCAGACGCCAACGGGAGGCAGCGGGGGGGAAUAUUGCACAAUGGGCGGAAGCCUGAGGCAGCGACGCCGCGUGCGGGAUGACGGCCUUCGGGGGGUAAACCGCUUUCGCCUGUGACGAAGCGGGAGUGACGGUAAUGGGUAAAGAAGCACCGGCUAACUACGUG
rnacentral:rRNA from 1 species